ensembl:lncRNA
UGAAUAUUAAGAAAUAACCAGUUACCUUCUCGGGCUAUAUACGCUGAUGAAGACGGUGCUUUAACAGUGUUUUAACACAUUGCUGCCUUUUAAAGAAGAGCAACGGUUACCUCAGAAGAUCUUGGAACUGCUCCUGGACAGUCCAUGGCGAGUGGCCAUGAAUGGGGAAAUGUCAAGUCCUGCAAUGCCCAUUCAGGAGAGAGAAGGGUGGCAGAUAACUGCAUCAUGACAGAAGGAACAAACAGCCUCAUCUUCAAUGGGAGCAGAAAGAAAAAGAUAGGUGAGGCAGAGUCACUCCUCUUAUAACAAUGCUCUUGCAAGAACUGAACGGAUCACACAAGAACUACUUCAUACUUCCACCAACCCAAGGAUAUCACACUAACCCCCAUAUUCCAAAGGUUCCUCCAUUUCCCACUAGCACCACAAGGUGGACCAAGCCUUCAAUCACAGUGGGCCAUUAGGGCCCUGAAACUUACCUUCAAACCAUAACACUUACCAAGACUUCCUGUCUUACCCUCUGUACAUUAAGUUGGGCUACAGCUCCUUGGUAUUUUCUGUGGGCUGGGGCCUGUGCCACGGUCGUUGGAAGGGAGAUACUGUCAUUUUAUAUCAGAGGGAAGUGGGCCUGGAGACCAAUCCUUGUAUACAACAUUGACUUGUUUUUGGAUGUCUGUAACUCUGAAAAGUCCAAGAGCCUUGGAAUACUUCUAACUCAAGCCAGAACAAUGGAAAAUAAACUAUUAAAUAUGAAAUCCAGAACUCUGGUCCCUCUAUCAUAAUGAGGUGAGUCUAUUAGUUGUAUAUACUUAGUCAGAAAUAAGGAUACCUUUGAGUUAUUGCUGGAUAGCCAUUCAGACUCUCUAUAUUUGUGUUAUUACUGAAGAAUAAAUAGUCAAACAGACCGCAGGAACUCCUGGCACCAGCUAAACAUUUCUAAAGUGUUUUUAAUGGUGAAUACAGGGUAUUUAAUUACUUUCUAUUGGAAAAAUCCUUCAUUUGGACUGAAUUACCAUCAUAUUUAGGACCAGUAAAUUUAGCUUACUCAUAUCUGUGUUCUCGUGGUCCUUUCAAUUAUUCACUUAUUUCAUACAUAUUUAUGGAAUGGCUAUGGUGUUCCAUAAACUAUAUUGGGGCUAAAUAGGCAACAGUGAGAGAAACAGAUGUAAUUAUAAUCCUUGUGACUCUUACAUCUAGUAUAGGAUAGAGACAAUACUUCACUCAGCUUCCCAUUGUUGUAAUAAGAUAACUGAGAUAAUUAACUUAAAAAGACAUUUUCAUUUUUUUCUCAUAGUUUCAGAGGUGUCAGUCCAUGGUCAGUUGACCAUAUGCCUUUAGGCCUGUGGUGAGGAAGUACAUCAUGGUGUAGCACAAGCUGAUCACAGCAUGGUGGCUGGAAAGUGAAAAGAGAAGAAAGGCAGGAGCCCACAUCCCAAUAAUGCUUUCAAGGAUAAGCACCCAAUGGCUUAACUUUCUUCCAUUAGGCUCCGCUUCCUAAAGGUUUUGCCACCUCCCAAUAGUGCAACUGGCUGGAGACCAAACCUUUGACAUACUGGCCUUUGAACAUUUAUUGUGACCACAGCAGAAAAUAAUAAAAGAAUUUUAGAUAAUUAAGAAUGUCUAUUAAAAAAAUAAGGUAAUUCAACAGAGCUAAUGGGUCAGAAGCAUUGCUACUUUAGAUAGGACAGAGACCAGAAAAAUAGGAAAAGUCCAGUCAUAUCAUGUAAAAUGCUGGGUUGGGGAAAAGUGAACACAUCAUAGAAGAACAGCAAAUAUGAUAGUAUUGCAGCAGCCAAGCAUUUAGUGACUUUCAGGAGCAGUAGGAUGGACCUGUAAUUACCAGAGAACAAGCAGAUAGAGUUUAGUAUGAGAUGAUGCCAGGAGGGUAGAAAGGCCAGAAUAUGUGGGGGGAUGUGGGUCAUGGGAAAAAGUUUAGAUUAUAUUUCAAAAAUUUUGGAAUCUGUGAGUGCACUUGUAAUGGUUAAUUUUAAGUGUCAACUUGACUGGGCCACAUGGUGCCCAGAUAUUUGGUAAAUCAUUACUCUGUUUCUGUGAGGUGUUUUUGUAUGAGAUCAACAUUUGAAUCAAUAAACAAUAAAGCUGAUGGU